rnacentral:rRNA from 1 species
GCCAACGGCCAUAUCACUCUGCAACUCACAACUGCCAACCCAUUGAAGCUAAGCAAGUGUGAGCCUGGUCAGUACCUGUAUGGGAGACCUCCUAGGAAAAACUAAGGUUGCUGUUGGAA